rnacentral:lncRNA from 1 species
CGUAGGAGUGUCAUGAUUUUGAAGCGAGGCAGAUAAAGAAAAGCCAGGAAUGAAAACCCAAAAUGAAUAAUCACAAAGUUCGUGGAGAAAUCGGAGAAGCGCGACGACCCCUAACAGAGGGAGGGGAGAGCAGAAGCGGAGUGGUCAACUGGGAGACAUUAAACGCGGCAAGGGAGGAGAGCGCAACGUGCCUGCGGGGCCGGGCGGCUCGGCGGCCGCGAAUGACCUUCGGCGGAGCAGGGUCAGCGCCCCCGUGUGGCAGCGGGCGCGUGGCCGAGGUCCGAGGAGGGCCCGGAGGUCUGGCCGAGGUCCGAGGAGGGGCCCGGAGGUCUGGCCGAGGUCCGAGGAGGGGCCCGGAGGUCUGGCCGAGGUCCGAGGAGGGGCCCGGAGGUCUGGCCGAGGUCCGAGGAGGGGCCCGGAGGUCUGGCCGAGGUCCGAGGAGGGGUCCGGAGGUCUGGCCGAGGUCCGAGGAGGGGUCCGGAGGUCUGGCCGAGGUCCGAGGAGGGGUCCGGAGGUCUGGCCGAGGUCCGAGGAGGGGUCCGGAGGUCUGGCCGAGGUCCGAGGAGGGGCCCGGAGGUCUGGCCGAGGUCCGAGGAG